UUCCUCUCCCUUCCCUCAGUCUUAGGCCGCCGCCCGUCCCUCUCGGUGCCUCAAUUCUCAGCCACCCACACGUCACCUCUCAGCCACUCGUCCUCCCCGCGGUCUCCAACAGUGUACAUACCUAUAGGCUACUUGUGUCGGCCUGCAGUGCUUCGAGAGGUUGCGAUGGUAUUGGCGCGGUGGUUAAAGCAGUGACCUUGAUUGCGGAGAGCCGCCACGCGACCCUUCAUUGCCUCCGCUGCGCGCCACGCCGCGGACAUGGCCAAGAGUUGGCCCUUGAUCCUUCUGGCGGCCUGUCUCGUACUGCUGAUGGAGGCCAGCGCCCGCCCUGAUGCUGCAAGGAAUGGCGGGGCACAUGUCAAAACCAGACCCAUCCUGCGUGGCUCACGAGCACGAGUCGAACCUGUCAAACGUAAGGCUCUUAGGUCCAAGCCAGUGAGCCAGCGGAUCCGGCCGAGGGGCAUUCCACAACCUCAGUAUUACUCUUACCAGCCUUACUACCAGCCACCUUACGAUCCUACUGGCCACGGGGAUCCACAGUUCUCUUUUUUCCAAGGGAGAUGAGCAAUAUUUGGAUGACGUCCACUUCAACCACUCCCUAUCUCUACUUCAGUGAAGUGCCCUUAAUCAAGACUACUGUUCUUGUCCUCCAACUGUCAAUUAUUCUAGUUAUCAGUACAUACCCACACACUGCAAUUCUAUGUUAACUCUGGGUAACAUGUCAAGUAGUGUCUCAGUAAUUCAGAGAAGGAUAUUUGACUUACAUUUUUGGGUGCUGGAUCCUGUAAAAUAUUGUAACAAUAUUUGAUAUUUGCAAGAGUAAAAUAUACUGUGUCA